CAAAAUAAACAUGUAUAGGGAAAUUCGACUUAGGGAAAGACUAAAUACAUGUGCUUACAAGUUAGGGUCACUCAAUUAAUUGUAAUCCGAACCACUAAAAAUAUCAAGAAAUACUACAAUGCUUCCUUCCAGUAAUAAUACUCCUUUAUCAAUUGAUAACCACAAUAUGCAACCCUACACUCUCAAAAGACUGCUCAAAACACAAUAAUUUCUAUCCAACACCAAGAAAAUAGACUUCACUCCAACCAAUCUAGAUCCACACAAUUUCUGUAAUUAUAGACUUUCUUUGUCGAAACACACACACAACUCUCAAUAAACAACAAUCAUAAUCUUCCAUUCAUAAUCAAUCUUCCAAUAACUUCUCAUAUACUUCAAUCACAUAAUACUCCAAUUACAUAAUCAAUAACUCAUAAAUCAAUCUCUAAUUUAUUCUACAGACUCACUUCUCAGUAUUCAAAAACUAUCCAUUACUCUUCAACAACAAA
rnacentral:lncRNA from 1 species